rnacentral:rRNA from 1 species
CCUACGGGAGGCAGCAGUGAGGAAUAUUGGUCAAUGGGCGCAAGCCUGAACCAGCCAAGUCGCGUGAGGGAUGACGGUCCUAUGGAUUGUAAACCUCUUUUGUCGGGGAGCAAGGCCCGCCACGUGUGGCGGGAAGGAGAGUACCCGAAGAACAAGCAUCGGCUAACUCCGUGCCAGCAGCCGCGGUAAUACGGAGGAUGCGAGCGUUAUCCGGAUUUAUUGGGUUUAAAGGGUGCGUAGGCGGAAGGUUAAGUCAGCGGUAAAAUGUCGGUGCUCAACACCGGCCUGCCGUUGAAACUGGUCUUCUUGAGUGAGCGAGAAGUAUGCGGAAUGCGUGGUGUAGCGGUGAAAUGCAUAGAUAUCACGCAGAACUCCGAUUGCGAAGGCAGCAUACCGGCGCUCAACUGACGCUGAGGCACGAAAGCGUGGGGAUCGAACAGGAUUAGAUACCCUGGUAGUC